rnacentral:snRNA from 1 species
GUAUUUACCUGGCGGGAGAACCCCCAUGAUCACAAAGCUGACCUUUCCACGGCAAGGCUCAUCCAUUGCACUCCAGAUGAGCUGACUCCUGUGGUUUCUUCAUAUGUGGGGAACUGCACUCACUCUC